CCAGCACCCAAUCGCGAGGCGCCUUCGGAUUCAAGGGGGGAUAGCAAGGCAAGAGAACUUGGGAGGAAAAAAAAAUAUAAAAGGGGUGGGGGUGAGGGGCUGGGAAGAGAGGAGGGGAGAGGGGCCCUGCGCUCCCCCUCCCCGGCCUCCAUCCCCGGCCCCCACCCCCACCCCCACCCUGCCACAGCUUCGGGACGACUGGAUCGCCGCGCCUGGGCCGGAGCGAGCCAUCUGCGGGCACUAUGCAAAGCGGGAGACGGCGCGAGCGGCGCCCGGCUCACACUAGCUCUUCCAGGACGCAGAUGGCAAGCAUCUCCUAAAGAAACCGCUGGUCAGACCAAUGAAACCACAGGACAAAGAGUUCUCUUCAAAAGGGAACAACAAGAAGGAGAGAAAAAAAAAAAAGACAACAUUCCUAGUGAUCUUUCCGUGGGAAUGCGGCAAGGAGUCAGCAGGCAUAGUGAAAAUGGGCGGCGAUGGAUACUCCCAGCACUUGCUGAGCACUGCUACGCCUCAGGACUGGGACAGAGAGAACCAUUCUCUGCUUUCAAUAGGACAGAAGAGCUCCUUGGCACUGGAUGCCUCCGGGUCUGGUUGAGAGAGGAAUGGUUAGGAGACUGUUCUGAGGAUACGCAGACAUCAUCCAAAGCUUCCUACAUUCAGAUGAGGACAGAGGUUGGGCCAGAGCUUUGUAAGCUUGUUACCUAAGGAUGGUUCUGACCAUGUAAGCAGAUCACAGAAGCUGGAGGCAAAGGAUGCCAAGAUGGGAAAGCCACAUAAUGGAAGGAUCCUGGAUUUCAGAGCUGUCACUUGGAGGAGGGGCACCCAGUGAAGGUGUCUUAUCUAACCCACACCAUAUCUUCAUGAAGUGGCCAUAUGGAUUUGAUCCCUAUCCUUCAGAGGUGCUCAGCCUAAGGGAACACGGAUAGUAGAUUAAGCACUGACCAGAGCCAGCCUUGACAAUGUGCUGAUGGCAACCUAGAACAUAAGCAGAGGAGUAUACAGGACAAGAACUUGAUGGUCUCGGGAAAAUGGACAACAUGACUCAGGUGAAAAAGAUUGAUCAUCAGAUGUUUCUUAUGUAUCAACCUGAUAUUUAAAUCCAUGAAGGACAGAGACGACAAAGGCAGGUGGAAUAGAUAGAGAAGAGAUUCAAGGUCUGAGCUCUACAUUACUCAAACUGUUAGAGAUUAGGAAGAAGAGGAAGACCUGGCAAAAGAAUGUCCUGGGAUGUAGAAAGAAAACCAGAAGCUUGUGUUCUCUGGAAACCAAAUGAAGAAAGGGCUUCCAGAAGGACAGACAAAGUGUAGUGUGUCAAAGGCUCCUGAGCAAUCAGAGGAGAGCACAAAGGGGCUCACAGGACUUUGGUAUCUGGAUCACCCAGUGACACUUCCUGAUCACGAGAAACUGUCAGACCAACAGGGGCACUUUCUGAAACCAGCAGUUCUUCAGUGCCCAAAUGCAACCUUGAUGGUUUGAUUUUGGAGGAUGGCAAUUCAUUAACAGCACUCCCCAGUGAUAAAUAUGAAAACCAAUAAAACCCCCCACCCAAGGCAAUCUCUCCCAGCUCCUCGCUUUGAGUAAAGAGAAACCAGGAGAAGGCAGUCCUAGGGCAGUCUCCGGGCCAGCUUUCCCUAAUAAGAAGGCAGAGCUCCUCUUCACCCAGACUUCAGACCUAUAGAGGCAGCCUGGGGUCCCGGGAUGCCCUUGCACUCAGAGAUGUCCCCAGAGUCCUAGGGAAAUGGAGGAUAACUAGGAGGAAGCUGUUCAUGGCUGGCGAUGAGGUCUAUACCUUCUUGUCCGUCUCAGUGCUGUCUGCUAUUGAAUUUUUGUGCAGAUCACAUUAACUUAAAGCCAGUUCUCAAGAAGCUCCCCCUGCCGCCGGCAUAUCCACCAGUUGCUCCCCUUUCCUGCCAUUAAUCAGGGUCUGCUAGUUAGAGAACAAAUUCCUAUUUGUCCAAACAGUUGCCAACACCCCCACCCCAAGGUAGUUAAAUGAGGAUGAAUGGGUCAUUCUUAUUAAAAAAUGACUUAAAUUUCUCAAAUUCUAUUUAUGUUUCUUUUACAUCCCAAUUUUCUAUAGAUUUAGUGACUCCAAAUGAUAAGGUCUCAAGCUCAUAAUAAUUUAUCCCUUGGGUAACACACAAGGCUUGGUGGUAUUUCAGUAAUAUUCAUGACAACAGCAGCUGUCGUGCUAAUAAGGACUGAUGUCACCAGAGCACUUUCUAUGUGCCAAGCAUGGUGCACAACACUUUACAUACAUUAUGUCAUUUAAUUUUCACAAAACCUCACAGAGGUAAAUAUUAUUAUCUUCCUCUGCAUAUAAGGAAA
rnacentral:lncRNA from 1 species